rnacentral:rRNA from 1 species
AGUUUGAUCCUGGCUCAGAGUGAACGCUGGCGGUAGGCCUAACACAUGCAAGUCGAACGGCAGCACAGGAGAGCUUGCUCUCUGGGUGGCGAGUGGCGGACGGGUGAGGAAUACAUCGGAAUCUACUCUGUCGUGGGGGAUAACGUAGGGAAACUUACGCUAAUACCGCAUACGACCUACGGGUGAAAGCAGGGGAUCUUCGGACCUUGCGCGAUUGAAUGAGCCGAUGUCGGAUUAGCUAGUUGGCGGGGUAAAGGCCCACCAAGGCGACGAUCCGUAGCUGGUCUGAGAGGAUGAUCAGCCACACUGGAACUGAGACACGGUCCAGACUCCUACGGGAGGCAGCAGUGGGGAAUAUUGGACAAUGGGCGCAAGCCUGAUCCAGCCAUACCGCGUGGGUGAAGAAGGCCUUCGGGUUGUAAAGCCCUUUUGUUGGGAAAGAAAUCCAGCCGGCUAAUACCUGGUUGGGAUGACGGUACCCAAAGAAUAAGCACCGGCUAACUUCGUG